GUCUCUAUUAUUGUUUUCAGCCCUAGCAGCACGUACCGGCGCAUCGCCAGUAUAUAUAUUCCCGCAAUGUGAUAUUCUACAAUUAAUUACAGAUUGUGCAGUGCGUGCAGGCGAGGCAGCAGCACAUGUGUCCCCGCAGUGUAACAAUACACCCCACUAACAGCAACAGGGGCCACUGCUCUAUUACCUCGCAUAUUAUCUCAUAUCGUUAAGCUAAGCUACAAUAUGUUUCUUAUAUCAGAUAUGAGCAAUAAACGUCCAGGCUUUAAUUAAAA